rnacentral:miRNA from 1 species
AGCCCUUCCCUUUCACUGGCCU